rnacentral:rRNA from 1 species
GCGGCGGACGGGUGAGUUAACACGUGGGUAACCUGCCUGUAAGAUCGGGAUAACUCCGGGAAACCGGGGCUAAUACCGGAUAAUUCAUUUCCUCGCAUGAGGAAAUGUUGAAAGGUGGCUUUUAGCUACCACUUACAGAUGGACCCGCGGCGCAUUAGCUAGUUGGUGAGGUAACGGCUCACCAAGGCCACGAUGCGUAGCCGACCUGAGAGGGUGAUCGGCCACACUGGGACUGAGACACGGCCCAGACUCCUAC